ensembl:lncRNA
CUGGGUGCACAGUGCAGGAUGCAUGCACAGCCUUGGUGGGUGCACAGCGUUGCUGGGUGCACAGUGCAGGAUGCAUGCACGGCAUUGCUGGGUGCACAGCAUUGCUGGGUGCAGUGUUGCUGGGUGCACAGUGCAGGAUGCAUGCACGGUGUUGCUCGUUGCACGGCGUUGCUGGGCGCACGGUGCCGGGCGUUGUACAUUGGCCGCUCCAUCCCCACAGCCGGGUGCCAAAUUCCACCGCCCACACAGGAAGCCGUCGGCGCUCUCGGAGCCGUGCAGAGGGCCGGGCCGGCCGGAGGGAUUCAAAGCGAGGGCUGGAGGAGAAAAAGCAGGUCAGCCCCGAGCCGCCAGCGUCACCCUGGCACGCAGCAGACGGCCUUCGAGGAAGCGGAGCGAGGGAUCGGCCGUGACGUCCCCGGGCGCACAGCGUGCAGUUGGCCACGGUGUGAGAGCUCCAGGAACGGCCGGCACCGAGCAAACGCUGCGGUGGCUUUGCUGGGGGUCCCGGGGGUGAGGAGGGCAGGGAUGGCCGUGGGGUGCUGCGUGUGGGGCAGAGCGGGGAGGGGUGGAGGGAGAGGACGGCGGAGGCUGCAGCAGCGUGUGUUGAUUUGGAGAGGUGAAACCAUCUCGUGUUGGUGCGGCUGCGUCCCCACAUGGCUCCAUCCGUGGGGUACGGCCCUCAUCCGUGGGGUACGGCCCUCAUCCGUGGGGUCACUCCAUCCCAUCCGUGGGUACGGCUCCAUCCCUGCUGUCAUCUCAUCCACGGGUGCAGCUCCAUCAAUAGGAACAGCUCCAUCCAUGGAUGCAGCUCCAACCCUGCACAGCUGCAUCUGUGGGUACAGCUCCAUUCAUGGGUACGGCCCCAUCCCUGCUAUCACCCCAUCCAUGGGUAUGGCCCCAUCCCUGCUAUCACCCCAU